rnacentral:lncRNA from 1 species
AGCUUGGUCUACCACCUUCAGGAGGUUUGUUGGCAAGCUCAAUUUCCUACAGCACACAAGCCUGAUAUAUCUUGUCACGCCCCUUUUCUUAUAACUAACUUCAAUAAAACCUCUUAAAAUAAUAAAAAGAUUUAUAAAGCUCAAACUAGGGUUUUCCAAUUAGAAAGUGACAAAAUAUGUUCAAAAGUAAAUAACUCAGAGUUGCCACCUAAUAUUGAUAUUGGUGUGCCACGUCACCGUUUUGUUCUUUAAAAUGAUGUUUCCUUUAAAAUACUUCUAGACUCCAAAAUAAAGUAUACACUAGAGAUUCGAGUAAGGGGGUCCAUUUGACUCGAGGAGAAGGUGUUAGGCACUCCCCAAGUCCUGUGAAAUUCACCAUACUUGAUCUAGUCGACUUUUGAAAAAUUCGAAAUGAGGUAAUAUACACAUAAAAAGCAAAAUAAAUAUAUGCGAGGCUCGAGGUUUUCCCCACAUAAAUAAUAGAAAAUUAAAAGAAGAAAAAUUAGAUUUCUAAAUUAUCCUACGCUACUUCUUCUACGAUGUUCGCCAUGGCCUCCAAUUACAUUCACUUCGGGGCAUACCCCUGAAAUAAAAUAUAUACAAAUUCCUCGGGGCAUUUUCCGAUUAAAUUGAACUAAGGGAACGACCUCUCGCCUCAAAACUAACAAAAUCGUAAUGCUUUCCCUACCCAAUUGAUGAUGGCCUAAACAUGCUCCUAACGAAUGACAUCAUCAAUAAAGAAGAUAAAAGAACCAAGUAAAAGAAACAGGCGAAUGCUCAUAUCUUGUUUUUAACUUUACAUUUUAUUAGGCCAAGCAUAAUACAUAAAACAUGGAAAAAAUUAAUUGCUAAUGGGUUUCGACUUUUCUACCACUCACCAUGACCCUACAACCAUUCAAACAAUUUUAAACUCGAUAAAAUCAGACUCAAAUGAUAAAAUAUCCAAAAUAGGAAUUCAAGAAGAUAAAUGCAUGUAAGACAACAUGCUAACAAAUAAAGGACACUAAUAAAAUGACAACAUGAGACAAAAUAGCAAAUUGCGGUCUAAAAAACUUCCUCAUCACAAAGUUCAUUAUUCUCACUCAGCAUGGCAUAAGGAUUAUAUAAUAAAAUCAAUUUAAAAUGACUAAGUGAAGAAAAUCACUGGAAACAUAAAAGGACUAGUCAUAACAGCACACAAGAUAUGCGAAAACAAGUUUGAAUUAAACAAAGCUUCAAUACUCAAAUAAAAACAAAAACAAAAAUAAAGUAUAGGAGAUUAUAAUAACCUCAGAGUGGCUCUCAAAUCGGAAAAUUUCAAUGAUUUACAACACUGAGUCGAGCAAAAACUAGCGAAUCCGGAAUGGAGAAAUUCAAUAGGAUCUUCAAACAAAGACAACGAGUUGCAACCAGAAACACAAGUGGCGACUCUAAAAUUUGAACACCUCAUCGGUUUUACUCCAUUUCGAACAAAAUCCAGAAGAAGAAAUUGUUUUUCUAUGGUUAUUUUUUAAAUUUUCUGUCCAGCUACUGUCGAAAGUCCUUUUAUCUAUAAUGGCAUGUGUGUGUGUGUGUGUCUCUUUUACUAAUGGCAGAGACGGUUGAAAUUCUUAGUGUGUUAGGUUGGCAGGCGGUUCUGUUCUUUUGGCGUUCAAGAAGUUGAUGAAGAAAAAUGGGCACUGAUGGGGUUCUAAGGUCCUUUGUUAUUUUUCUCCAUUGUUGUCUAAGGUUCUAAGGUUGAAGACAAAGAAGAACGAUUGUUUUGGUGAGGGUGACGACUCUAAGUGUAGGAUUUAGCUUGUUUCAUUGUUGUGUAGAUGAAGAAGGAGGAGCUCCUUUUUGUAUAUGUCCCCUCCCAAAAAGAC